GGUUAUGGCUCAGCGGUAGAGCGCUCGCCUCGCACAUGCAAGGCCCUGGGUUCAAUCCUCAGCACCA
rnacentral:tRNA from 1 species